AUGGAGCUUUAGACACCAAGGCAGCUUACGUUAAACACCCCCCGAUAAGGGCCUAAACCAAAUAAACCCUCCCCUAAUGUCUUUGGUUGGGGCGACCGCGGGGAACUAAAUAACCCCCACGUGGAGCGGGAGAACUCCUCCUACAACUAAGAGCUACAGCUCUAGUAAACAGAAUUUCUGACCAGUAAGAUCCGGCAAUGCCGAUCAACGGACCG
rnacentral:rRNA from 1 species